UCUCACUCUCACUGUGCGUGCAG
rnacentral:piRNA from 1 species